rnacentral:rRNA from 1 species
UACAGGGGGUGCAAGCGUUGCUCGGAAUUAUUGGGCGUAAAGGGUUCGUAGGCGGUUUGUCGCGUCGGGAGUGAAAACUCAGGGCUUAACCCUGAGCCUGCUUCCGAUACGGGCAGACUAGAGGUAUGCAGGGGAGAACGGAAUUCCUGGUGUAGCGGUGAAAUGCGCAGAUAUCAGGAGGAGCACCGGUGGCGAAGGCGGUUCUCUGGGCAUUACCUGACGCUGAGGAGCGAAAGCAUGGGGAGCGAACAGG